UAAAAACAUGUCUGUGCGUUUAAUUUGCAAAGUCUGGCCUGCCCACUGAGUUUUUAAAGGGCCGCGGUAUCUUGACCGUGCAAAGGUAGCAUAGUCAGUAGUCCUUUAAUUGGGGGCUUGAAUGAAUGGUUGGAUGAGGCACAAGCUGUCUUUCACUUUUUAUAAAAUUUAACUUUUAAGUGAAAAGGCUUAAAUUUUUUAGGGGGACGAUAAGACCCUAUAAAACUUUACAUAUUAUUUGUUUUAUUUAGAAAUUAAGUUUAAACUUAGUAAAGUGUGUGUGUGUUUCGUUGGGGUGAUGAAAAUAUAAUAUUAACUGUUUUUAAAAUUUAAUAUAAUUAAAUAGAUUAUGAUCCUUUUUAUGGAUUAGUAGAUUAAGUUACUUUAGGGAUAACAGCGUGAUUUCUUUUGAGAGUCCUUAUCGACAAAGGUAGUUGCGACCUCGAUGUUGAAUUAAAAUUUUUGGCCAGGUGUAGUAGUUUGGUUGGUGGGUCUGUUCGACCUUUAAAAUUUUACAUGAUUUGAGUUCAAACCGGUGUGAGCCAGUG
rnacentral:rRNA from 1 species